GAGGUUGGAUUCUCUUUUCCUUUUCUUUUGUAAUAUUUUCACAGAAAUAAGAAACAAAUAUCAAAGGUGAUUUCCGGCCCUUUUCAUUUUCAUUUUUACAUAUUUUAACCUUUUUUAUUUUAUUUUUUCUUUUUGUUCAUCCAUUUAUAUACAUAUAAUAUAAAUAAUAAUAAAAAAGAGAGGGAAACUCACCGAGGAGAGGCGAUUUGGCAAAAAAGGGGAACCUUUUGGUCUCCCCGUCGCCGUACAUGGCGGCGCCGGCGUCGGCGACCGGUGCAACGACUGAUGGCCUGACCUCUGACCGGCGUCUGGAAAAGGGAUAGAGACUUGAGAGAAUUUUUUUGGUUUUUUUUUCUGGA
rnacentral:lncRNA from 1 species